UGAAGCGGCAACAGCUCAAAUUUGAAAUCUGGCUCUUGUAGUCCGAGUUGUAAUUUGUAGAGGAUGCUUUUGGUGAGGUGCCUUCCGAGUUCCCUGGAACGGGACGCCAUAGAGGGUGAGAGCCCCGUCUGGUCGGACACCGAUCCUCUGUAAAGCUCCUUCGACGAGUCGAGUAGUUUGGGAAUGCUGCUCUAAAUGGGAGGUAUAUGUCUUCUAAAGCUAAAUAUUGGCCAGAGACCGAUAGCGCACAAGUAGAGUGAUCGAAAGAUGAAAAGCACUUUGAAAAGAGGGUUAAACAGUACGUGAAAUUGUUGAAAGGGAAGCGCUUAUGACCAGACUUGGGCCCGGUUAAUCAUCCAGCGUUCUCGCUGGUGCACUUGGCCGGCCCAGGCCAGCAUCAGUUCGGCGCGGGGGAUAAAGACUUUAGGAAUGUGGCUCCCUCGGGAGUGUUAUAGCCUAUUGUGUAAUACCCUGUACUGGACUGAGGUUCGCGCAUCUGCAAGGAUGCUGGCGUAAUGGUCAUCAGCGACCCGUCUUGAAACACGGACCAAGGAGUCGUCUUCGUAUGCGAGUGUUCGGGUGUUAAACCCCUACGCGUAAUGAAAGUGAACGCAGGUGAGAGCUUCGGCGCAUCAUCGACCGAUCCUGAUGUUCUCGGAUGGAUUUGAGUAAGAGCAUACGGGGCCGGACCCGA
rnacentral:rRNA from 1 species